UUAAUUAAAACCAAAAAGAGGUAAAUCACUGUUAAUGAUUAAACUAGUAAUUUAAUACUUAAUUAAA
rnacentral:tRNA from 1 species